rnacentral:rRNA from 1 species
UCAACACACAUCGAUCUAAAGGACAAAAAGACCCUCUGAAGCUUUAUAGGGAUAAAACUUGGGUAACAUCUUGAUCUACAAUGUCUCUUAUUGAUCUAAAGCCAGCUAAAGUGAUGGAGAUCACGUAUUUUAGUAAAAAUAAACUAAUUUGCUCUAAGACC